CUACGGGGAUCAGCAGUGGGGAAUAUUGGACAAUGGGCGAAAGCCUGAUCCAGCCAUGCCGCGUGUGUGAAGAAGGCCUUCGGGUUGUAAAGCACUUUCAGUGGGGAAGAAAGCCUUGGGGCUAAUACCCUCGAGGAAGGACAUCACCCACAGAAGAAGCACCGGCUAACUCCGUGCCAGCAGCCGCGGUAAUACGGAGGGUGCGAGCGUUAAUCGGAAUUACUGGGCGUAAAGCGCGCGUAGGCGGUCUGAUAAGCCGGUUGUGAAAGCCCCGGGCUCAACCUGGGAACGGCAUCCGGAACUGUCAGGCUAGAGUGCAGGAGAGGAAGGUAGAAUUCCCGGUGUAGCGGUGAAAUGCGUAGAGAUCGGGAGGAAUACCAGUGGCGAAGGCGGCCUUCUGGACUGACACUGACGCUGAGGUGCGAAAGCGUGGGUAGCAAACAGGAUUAGAUACCCCGGUAGUC
rnacentral:rRNA from 1 species